GCUAUGGUAUAACUUAGUGGCAGACGGGUGAGUAAUGUAUAGGAAUCUACCUAGUAGUACGGAAUAAUUGUUGGAAACGACAACUAAUACCGUAUACGCCCUACGGGGGAAAAAUUUAUUGCUAUUAGAUGAGCCUAUAUUAGAUUAGCUAGUUGGUGGGGUAAUAGCCUACCAAGGUAAUGAUCUAUAGCUGAUCUGAGAGGAUGAUCAGCCACACUGGAACUGAGAUACGGUCCAGACUCCUACGGGAGGCAGCAGUGGGGAAUAUUGGACAAUGGGCGAAAGCCUGAUCCAGCCAUGCCGCAUGAGUGAAGAAGGCCUUUGGGUUGUAAAGCUCUUUUAGUGAGGAAGAUAAUGACGGUACUCACAGAAGAAGUCCUGGCUAACUCCGUGCCAGCAGCCGCGGUAAUACGGAGAGGGCUAGCGUUAUUCGGAAUUAUUGGGCGUAAAGGGCGCGUAGGCUGGUUAAUAAGUUAAAAGUGAAAUCCCGAGGCUUAACCUUGGAAUUGCUUUUAAAACUAUUAAUCUAGAGAUUGAAAGAGGAUAGAGGAAUUCCUGAUGUAGAGGUAAAAUUCGUAAAUAUUAGGAGGAACACCAGUGGCGAAGGCGUCUAUCUGGUUCAAAUCUGACGCUGAAGCGCGAAGGCGUGGGGAGCAAACAGGAUUAGAUACCCUGGUAGUCCACGCUGUAAACGAUGAAUGUUAAAUAUGGGGAGUUUACUUUCUGUAUUACAGCUAACGCGUUAAACAUUCCGCCUGGGGACUACGGUCGCAAGAUUAAAACUCAAAGGAAUUGACGGGGACCCGCACAAGCGGUGGAGCAUGUGGUUUAAUUCGAUGCAACGCGAAAAACCUUACCACUUC
rnacentral:rRNA from 1 species